rnacentral:tRNA from 1 species
GGGUUUAUAUUGUAAGUCUAGCAUUUCUUCCUUGCACGAAGAGAGUCUUAAUCCAUCCA